GCCCAAGUAGCACAAUGGUAGUGCGUUGCUUUCCUAUGAUUACGUAAGGCAAAGGUUGUGGGUUCGAUCCCCAUCUUGGGUU